rnacentral:rRNA from 1 species
AAACCAGCACCUCAAGUGGUCAGGAGGAUUAUUGGGCCUAAAGCAUCCGUAGCCUGUUCUGUAAGUUUUCGGUUAAAUCCACUAGCUCAACUAGUGGGCUGCCGAAAAUACUGUAGAACUAGGGAGUGGGAGAGGUAGACGGUAUUCGGUAGGAAGGGGUAAAAUCCUGUGAUCUAUUGAGGACCACCUGUGGCGAAGGCGGUCUACCAGAACACGUUCGACGGUGAGGGAUGAAAGCUGGGGGAGCAAACCGGAUUAGAAACCCGGGUAGUCC